UACGUAGGGUGCGAGCGUUAAUCGGAAUUACUGGGCGUAAAGCGUGCGCAGGCGGGCUUUUAAGCCAGUCGUGAAAUCCCCGGGCUUAACCUGGGAAUGGCGUGUGGGACUGGGAGUCUGGAGUGCGGCAGAGGAGACUGGAAUUCCUGGUGUAGCAGUGAAAUGCGUAGAUAUCAGGAGGAACACCGAUGGCGAAGGCAGGUCUCUGGGCUGACACUGACGCUCAUGCACGAAAGCGUGGGGAGCAAACAGG
rnacentral:rRNA from 1 species